GUGGGGAAUAUUGGGCAAUGGGCGAAAGCCUGACCCAGCAACGCCGCGUGAAGGAAGAAGGUCUUCGGAUCGUAAACUUCUAUCCUUGGUGAAGAUAAUGACGGUAGCCGAGAAGGAAGCCCCGGCUAACUACGUGCCAGCAGCCGCGGUAAUACGUAGGGGGCAAGCGUUGUCCGGAAUGAUUGGGCGUAAAGGACGCGUAGGCGGCCUGGUAAGUCUGGAGUGAAAGUCCUGCUUUUAAGGUGGGAAUUGCUUUGGAUACUGUCGGGCUUGAGUGCAGGAGAGGUAAGUGGAAUUCCCGGUGUAGCGGUGAAAUGCGUAGAGAUCGGGAGGAACACCAGUGGCGAAGGCGACUUACUGGACUGUAACUGACGCUGAGGAGCGAAAGCGUGGGUAGCGAACGGGAUUAGAAACCCUGGUAGUCC
rnacentral:rRNA from 1 species